ensembl:lncRNA
AAGAGACGGAGCAUUUUUAUUUGUGUUCUCUCGUUGACCCCGAGUUUUCAGAGGCUGGCCAGAAAAGGCUGCGCGGAGCAGGGCACUAAACCCCUCCCUGAUACACACUGAGGUAUAUGUGUGUCUUUGGUUCCAACCGAGAUUUUACGCUCAACUACCAGCGGAGGCGAACUGCUGGAGCCAUCAAGAACGGGUGCGUUACCACAAUAUAUUGCUGUUGGUUAUAAAAGCUGCCUUUAUUGCAUUGCGUGUGUAGUUAUCUUGAGACUCCCCCCUCGUAUGUGAUAUUGUCAUUUUAACACGAUUAUUCUAUUUGUUGUUGUGCACACUUGUAUCUUGAGUCUAUUUUAUUGUGUACUUCGGCCUUUAAUUACUUUGAAUAAGUAAUGCUUUUUCUCCUCGCGGUAUCUCCCUAUUCUCGACUUGUUUCUAUCUAUAUUUCGUCGGCCUACAGAGUGGCAGACACGCACGACGCACCCAUAGAACCGGGGGAUGCGGCACGAGGCGUGGGUCCGGCGAUCCGUCCGUCGGUCAGAGACCCGAGCGGAACGGAAACCCUCGCGGCGCGGCUCGUGUGAGUUUUAUUCGAUAUCUACUUUAAUGCAGCGAGACUAGUGGGUGAGCUGCGGGGUGGACGGCUCCGUGGGCCGGUCCUAACCCCACCCAGAGCUCAUUGGAACGGUAUCUGUCCUAUCAAGGCUUUGUCAGCUGGUGCUGCUGGAGUUUCCUGAUUUGUCUGGACAGUACAUAGUACAUUCCGGUCGCCCCUUGACUGAAGUGGGAGACAUGGCGGCCUACAACUUCCUCAAUUGGUGGUACAUCAUACUGGGAGGACAGGUCGGCGGGGAGGGGAUCGUCUUAAACCAAUGGUGAUGGAUCCUCAAACACCUCACCAAAGACCAGGAUCAGCAG